AUGGAGAGUUUGAUCCUGGCUCAGGACGAACGCUGGCGGCGUGCCUAAUACAUGCAAGUCGAGCGGACCGACGGGAGCUUGCUCCCUUAGGUCAGCGGCGGACGGGUGAGUAACACGUGGGUAACCUGCCUGUAAGACUGGGAUAACUCCGGGAAACCGGGGCUAAUACCGGAUGCUUGAUUGAACCGCAUGGUUCAAUCAUAAAAGGCGGCUUCGGCUGCCGUUUACAGAUGGACCCGCGGCGCAUUAGCUAGUUGGUGAGGUAAYGGCUCACCAAGGCGACGAUGCGUAGCCGACCUGAGAGGGUGAUCGGCCACACUGGGACUGAGACACGGCCCAGACUCCUACGGGAGGCAGCAGUAGGGAAUCUUCCGCAAUGGACGAAAGUCUGACGGAGCAACGCCGCGUGAGUGAUGAAGGUUUUCGGAUCGUAAAGCUCUGUUGUUAGGGAAGAACAAGUACCGUUCGAAUAGGGCGGUACCUUGACGGUACCUAACCAGAAAGCCACGGCUAACUACGUGCCAGCAGCCGCGGUAAUACGUAGGU
rnacentral:rRNA from 1 species